UCAAUUCACGUAAAAGCAAAAACAAGAGAAGUCAAACCCUCCUUCCCUCCUAUUCUUUUACGUGAACCAACCAAAACCCUCAAACCUUGCUUCUCUCCUUGCAGCCGCCGCACAGCCACCGCCGGACCGACAACCACCGCGCCGCCGGUCUGCAUCCCUGCUGUCACGCCGGUUAACGUAGCUCUUCCUCCCUUCCGUUAUUCCAUUUUCUCGGCCAACGUUCCUCUUCCUUCUUGCUUCCUGCGCAUUCAACCACCGCCAUGACCAGCGCGCACAACCACCAACGUUUGUCACCUACGCCCAGCCACGCACCACCGUGUGCGACUCUGCCGCCAGCCCUCUUCCGUCGGCCGCAGCCACCACUUCACCCAGCCGCGUCGACCCAUCAACCACCACUGUCACGCGCCACCUUGUGUCUGCCGGCAGCCCUUAUCUAUUCUUCUUUUGGUGGAGAAUUCUCCGUAGGCGACUUUUGAAUUAUUAAAGUGGUCUCGCAUUUUGUUUACACAAGUCUCUAAGGAUCAAUAAGCGUUGCCCAUCUACAGGUUUGAAGAUGAUGCAUCAUUGGGAUCGGGAUUAGAGAGCUUGUAGUUCUAUUUGUUUAAUUAAGUGAUUUAAUUUGUUAACUUGGAUUUGAAAUUUGUCGUACUAUUCGUAUUUCCUUAAUUCAGUUAAUUGGUUUGGACCUAAUAUGUAAUAGAUUAUUUAUGAACCUAAAAGUUAGUUUUAUGUUUUCCGCUGCAAAAUUCUGAAUAAGCCGUAACGUUUUCACAC